AGGAUAAUAGUUAAAAAUUAACAUUUAAAUUGCAAUUAAAAAUUAUUGAAUCUCAUUUUAUCUUA
rnacentral:tRNA from 1 species